rnacentral:rRNA from 1 species
AUUGAACGCUGGCGGCAGGCCUAACACAUGCAAGUCGAGCGAGCGGCGGACGGGUGAGUAAUGUCUGGGAAACUGCCUGAUGGAGGGGGAUAACUACUGGAAACGGUAGCUAAUACCGCAUACCAUCAGAUGUGCCCAGAUGGGAUUAGCUAGUCGGUGGGGUAACGGCUCACCUAGGCGACGAUCACUAGCUGGUCUGAGAGGAUGACCAGCCAAACGGGAACGGAGAAAGGGUCCAGAUGCCUACGGGAGGCAGAGGGGGGGAAUAUUGCAAAAGGGGCGAAAGCCGGAUGAAGCCAGGCGGCGUGUGUGAAGAAGGCCUUCGGGUUGUAAAGCACUUUCAGCGGGGAGGCGUUACCCGCAGAAGAAGCAACGGCUAACUCCGUGCCAGCAGCCGCGGUAAUUC